CGUCUAAGACCUCAUAAUAAUUCAACCGCAGGAAAAUUUUUUGAGCGAAGAAUUCCAGUAGUUUUUCGGCAUAGGCCUUGAAACAGAAUUAUCGUUUCUGUUAUUCCCAGUAGCGCGUGACGAUAAGUGAUAACCACCGUAUCGACAAUUAAUCGAUCGAUGUACUGCUAUGUAUACCUUAGCUUAUCCAUUAGCCGUGGCCAGUGAUAAUAAAACAUAAGACGAACGAUAUAAGAAGCAGAUGGUUAUCUAUUUGCAAGUGAAGGACGGUGGGGAUUGCGUACCCCAACGGCUAAGGACAUCCGUGGCCUGUUGUACAUGAGGUCCGGGCACCAUUAAGCAAAAUCAAUAAGAACGCCAGAAACGCGGAAACCUAGUACCAACGGGCGGCACAUGUAUGACCUAACGACUUCGAAUUUUGGGCAUAACAUUUUCAUCCUCCUGCCCUCAAGCAAGAAUCUUGCGGAACGGUGAAAAGGUGAUUUUUGCGUGGUCACGGAGGUUCAGGAUCAAUAUCCGUUAUCCAUCCGACGCUGUGGCGGUAAUGUCUCAGCAGUUGCGGCAGGAGUUGUCGAGUUUUGCAGGCGAUAUCUCCAUCAGCGUAUUGGUGUUGGCAUGCUAGCUGCUCCAUGUCGUGCGGAUGGCAGGUUAUGUGCGCAUGGAACUGCCGAUCGUAGUCGCACCAGUUGGGCGACCGGAGGCACAAUCUCGUCGUACGAGGCAAUAAUGUCAAGGUCAGACUCGGGUGGUAUGAAGUAGCGGUACAUGGCAAACCAAACUGGGAUUGAGACGUUGUGUAUUUAAUCGUCG